UCAUUCAGGCUACGCUCUGCCUCUGGCUUUAUGUGUUCCUGCAUUAUUUGCUGCAACUGUGCUGCUUCUCUACAAAUGGAAAACAAUGAGGGAAUCUGAUGGUUCGACCAGCAGGAGGCAGUCAAGCAGCAGCAGCAAUAACAAUAGGAGACGGAGACGCACCGAGUUUUCUGCCUCAAAGUUUACAAACCGGACGCCUCCACCCGACGGUCAACAACAACUUUACUAUAACCUCUGAGGCCAACGGCAUUCCAGGAAUUAAAAUAAACGUUUUCAUUAAUAGAUUCAA